GCGAUCCGGAGUUGGAUUUUAAAACAACAAACAUGCACACGCUCACAUCUGAUUGCAAUAUUAACUGCAAUCAGGUUUGAGAAUAAAGAACAACAAACACGUGCAUGUGUUUCAAAGAGACAGCUGAGAUGCCUUGGAGAAAGUCAGUCCACCAGGAGAAUACUAAUGAGCACAUGUGUUUCUGCGAACCAACUCCAGCACCUUAGCCACAUUGCUGAUGGAGCCGUCAGUGAUGAUAAAGACCUGCCGUGGAUAUGAACGCUGCAUGGGCUGCUGGUAGAGCCAGGACAGCGCCCCCUGAAGGCCAGACAUCCCGCAGCAGCAUCUCCACUCCUGGCCGCUCCCAUAGUGUCCAUCAAGACCAGAUCCAGG